UUGGGUGUAUUUUUCCAACUGCCGGACAUUUUAAUAUAGGUGUGUUUAUCCCGAUGCGGCUUCCUUAUACAUCGCUCUCGAGUGUGCAUUCAUACGCGGCUUUUUUAUUUUAAUUUCCCCCCUUUGUUUCAUUUCAUUCGUCCCCCGUCAACUCCGGUAAACUCGUUCAAAGUCGUGUCGACUGAUAUGUAUAACCUUGGUGAUGGGGUGAACUGAUGACCGUCUUUCGGAUUAAGAGUUUCGACCUUCGGAAGAAAGUGGUGGCUCUCAGAGGAUCCAAACGCGACAAUAGCAAAGAGAUCAACGCGCAAUGAAUCGAGAUCAUCAUCUUCUUUUUCUUUUCAAGUCGUUUAACUCUUUUUUUCGGGAGAGAGUCACGAUAAAGUCUUCAGGCAGUUCACAGGAGAAAAUAAAAAAGGUUAGAAACGAAAGGUGUUGUCUCAUCUGAUCUCGGAAUCCCGAAAAUUUUUAUUUAAAAAAGAAAAAAGAAAUGAAAAGUGAAAAAUAGACGUCUGGAGCCUCUGUGCCGCCGCUCGAGGGAAGUUGCGGCUGUGCUUCCCGUUCGAAAUCACCUGCUCAACUCUUUUACAUACACGGAAAAAGAUCUGACGAGGUCUCCCCGGCACAUCACGGGGUACUAUAACGUCUAUAACAGAAAAUAAUUCAAAAAUAAAAUAAAAAAAAGCUAAGAAGAUUGCUGUCGAGACACGGGAGCGGGAGAAAACAGGUUUUCUCGUGUGUGUGUGGACCUUAAAAAGACUUUCUCCUUCUCCCGUUUUCUUCGUAAAUGUUGAGAAUCACGUUUUUAAGAUCCGGCUUUCAUGUCUUUUUAUUUUUAUUUAUUUUUAUUUAAAAACAUUUUUAUUUUCGACAUUUUAUUCCAACGUCGCGUCGGUCGUCGUCGGUCGUCGUUGGGGUUGUUGUCAGUUUUCAUUUGAUUCCGUUUCGGGUCGUCGCCUUUUUCUUGACUGAGAAUUCGUGUUUUUCCUGGUCCGUCUCUGUUGUUGUGCUUGUUCCAGCGCUGGUUCGUCUGGUGUUGAAGAACUCUUGUUUCAUGGCCACCUGGAGAAUCUUUUGGGCUUCUUUCUUUUCAUUUUUAUUCAAUUCUUAUUUCUAGCGUGUUUUGUUUUCAUUCGUAUAAAGAUUCGAUCGUAUCGUCCAUCUUUCCCCCCCCACCCGGAACCACGCAGCGAAUGGUACGGACAAGCCAAAAACAAAAAGAACCGAAAGAGAAAACGGAAUAAGGAAAGAAAGAAAGAAGAAGAUGGUCCUUUUCUCCAAUGUUUUUCUUAGUUACGUAUAAGACGAAGGCGGAAAAGGUUAGAGACGAGGAAAAACCCCCCGGUAGACUCACUCACCGCCGGAAAGGAAUUGAGCCAAUCGCAUCCAGACAAGAAAUCCUCUUGUCUCUCUUUUUUUCUUUUUUGUUGGAUGGUCUUUCGAUGGAUGGACGAUAGUCGUCGUCGUUUUCUUAUAGCCAUAAAUAUUCGAUACGCACGUGAUCGUCUGAUAAAACAGCAGCGGACUAUCGGGGCGAUUUGUUUCUUCCUAUAGCGCCGAGACUGGGCUGAUGUGGCCCACCUGUUCACGACGGACUCGUCCCAAGUCGAUUUCCAGUUUGCUCGUUUAUCCGCUAACGAUCCGUUGGACGCGCUCAUGGCUCCCACUAAAUCAUCAUUUGUAUAGUCGAAAAAAAAGAAAAAAGAGAAAAUAUCUUGUCCAUGUCGCCGGCCCCGUGCAACCCACACGUGUGCAAUUCAUUUCAUUCCGUCUACAGUCCCCGGGAGCUUUUUUUUAUUUUUCCAGCUGCUGAAGAUAUCCGUGAUUUAUUUAGACGCUUAUCUUUUGCGAGAAAACAGAGAGAUAAGACACGGGAGCGAAAAGAAAAAGGUACACACAUUUAAGCCGGUAGGAGAUUCACACAAGUGAUAAGGCUCAUAAACAGUAUUUGAACACGACCAAAAAAAAAAAAAAAGUCAGACUAUAUAGAUUUGAGUUUUCCCUUUUGCCGUUUGCUGUCUGGUGCUGCUCCUGCGCGUUAGCCCUCCUAGACUUUUGAGUGGGGAUGACGUGAAUGCAAAGUGACAGGGACCGUGUGUGUGUGUGUUGUCGAGAGGAUAUAGCGCCAGCUCGCCAAGGUAAAUAUGCAAUGAGAUAGACAGACACGACGACCGAGAAAGAAACAAAUAAGACUAAGAAAGGAGGAGAGCCAUAGAGCAGAUGUUGGUUUAGUCUAGAUGCCAUAUUACACUCCUACGCGCUCUUGUUUUUUUUGAGUAAUAAUUACGUUCAAUUCCAUGAUAAUUUUGAUAAUUCUGAAGAUUAUUCGAGCUCUUAUGCAUCAUGCCAAUUUUAGUUUGAGACAUUUAUUCGUCCUACGUCAACUGGACUCUUUCCAUUCGUGUCAUCCAGCAAGAGGGGGGGGGGCAACAUUUAAAAUUGUCGAACAAGCGAAAACCGUUUUUUUUUUCGUUGAAAAGAAAUUCAUCGCCAUUUUACGCAAUCGCUUUAGCGAAAAUCAAAAUUCUGGCGAAAUGAAUAGGACUAUAUCUCUUUUGUCUGAGCUGCUGUCAAGGGGAAACGAAAGAAAGUUCGGGCCGGGGAGAGAAUUCAACUUUCCAUUCUCGGCGGGCGAUGUUGGUAUAUAAUAUGCUUAUAUUCUAUGUAACGUUUUCUGCUGUUGCCGGCCCGGCCGGCCCGACCUUUCCUUCUAGCCGGUUCAACCGAGAGGAAGAACAAUAACAGUACCAGCCGAUAUAAUUUAUGCGAAGAAGAAGAAGAAGAAACUAUAGACGAUGCACAACACACACACAAGAGAAAGAGAGAUGACAAGGCCAUCCUUUUCGUUCAACACCCCCGUCGGGCGUUAUUAUUGUUCCUCCGACUGCAUGUCCUGUAUAAAUAAAUCGACACGAGAUUCUUCUUCCACUUCGGGGGGACUUGCGUCGCUUUGUAUCGAUCUGUGUCGUUCUUCGUGACCCCCCUGAAUGUGCCGUUACGUCUAGCGCACCGCGUUUGUCUCCAAUUUCUUUUUUCUUCUUCUUUUUAUUGAAAAGACAGACAGACCCAUAGCUGGCGAAACUCUCGACCAGACUAUAUAAUAAAAUAUUUUCGAGGAAAAAAGAUGUACCCGACGCCUUCAGACGAAGAGAAUCACGACCCGAGUCACUCACGCUAUUGCCUAUUCAAUCCUCUUUGCCGCUGCUGCCAAGGUACAAACGACGCGACCGAGUGAUCAAAUAAACAAAUUGGGGCUAUUGUCGUAGCACCUUCAAUGGAUGUCGCUUCUCUCUCUUUUUCUAGUACAUCCGCCGCCGCGGUAGGUCAGCCCAAAUUGGAGGAAUUGACACAUUUGUGCUAUUUUGAUUCGGAUGACAAUUUUUCGAGUCAACCGGUGCAAGGUUCAUAAAGGCGACCGUGGUCACGUCACUGGUGCAGAAAUUGAAUUGACACGCACGACAUUCCUUCAUCAUCAAAAGGAUCUCCCCCCCGCAAUUGAGGCCAGGAAUUCGUAUAAGAAACUCAAGUGCUACCAUAAGCGGAAUCGAUACCGGAUGACUCGACCAUGACUGGACGAAUUUUGUUGUAAUUUUUAAAGAAGAAACCCGAAUUGCGUUUGCUGUUACAGAUAUACGAUCGAUUUCCAAAAAUAUAUAUGUACUCUCACUCGGUUUACGCUGAGAAAAGACAACCUUGAAGAUUGAUAUGUCACAGAUGACAAAUUGACAAUAACGACGCGUGUGAGAGAGUCGGUUGCGUCGUAACGAUGACCAGCACGCGGUCGGGCGGCAUUUUGUUAUGUUUCUUUUUUUUUUUUCCAUUCUGAAAAUGUGACAAUCUGCCCUGUAAUCCGGCCGCAGAUUGCACAAUAAUAAGUCUGGAUGGAGAGGGUAUACGAGCGAGAGUCACGUUUAUUCCAUUAUCCCAAUCCCCCCCCCUCCCCCUGCAGUUGUAGGUCAUCUGCUCAUCACCACCCCGCGGCCUCCUCAUAAUAUUUUUUAAAUUACAACUUUUUCUUCGCGUUCGACUCUACAUUAUACCUAUACGUCCUUUCUUCUCGUCGUAACGAUUUUUUUUUAUUUAUUUUUUAAAGGUCGAUAUUUAUGUAAGCCCCCGUUGUUGUUGCAGGAGUUCCUUUAGGGAUCGACCCAGUUCUUUUUCAUCUUCUCAAUUCUUUUGUCAGUUUUUUUCAAACUUAUGCCUAUAUUUUUUUCAUUUUCAUUUUCAUUUUCUUUGUCCUCUGUUGUUCAUCUUUCGAAAAGCAAGUCCCACUCACGAUACACCUUCGGCGCGUGUGUCUUCAUCUUUGUUUGUUUCACUUUUUCUUGUCGGCUGUGUAAUCAAAACGACUUUGUGUCUGCCCAGGAAAACAAAAAAUAAAAAUAAAAGGCCAUUGUUUUUU